ensembl:lncRNA
GGCGGUGAUACAGCCCGCCAGGAUGCUCUCGAUUGUGCAUCUGUAGAAGUUUGUGAGUGCUUUUGGUGACAAGCCGAAUUUCUUCAGCCUCCUGAGGUUGAAGAGGCGCUGCUGCGCCUUCCUCACGAUGCUGUCUGUGUGAGUGGACCAAUUCAGUUUGUCUGUGAUGUGUAUGCCGAGGAACUUAAAACUUGCUACCCUCUCCACUACUGUUCCAUCGAGUCCACCUGGCUUGACACUCAGACUGAACAACCCUACUUCUUAAUUUCUCAAAGGAAAAACAUCAACCAAUUUCUAAAGACUGUUGACAUCUAGUGGAAGCCAUGGGAACUGCAACCAGGUGCUUCAUAAAUCUUGUUUCCCAAAGAAAGCACAGUGAACAAAAAAAAAAAUCCUGGAUAGUUUGUCCUCGGGGUUUCGCCUGUCAAAUAAGUUAUGUUAUACUCACAGACAUUAUUUUAACAGUUUUAGAAAUGUUAGUGUUUUAUAUCCAGAACCAAUUAUAUGCAUAUCCUAGCUUCUGGGCCUGAGUAUCAGGCAGUUUACUUUGGGCACGCUUUUCAUCCGGACGUGAAAAUACUGCCCCCUAUCCCAAACAGGUUAAAGGAAAUUCUUGUUAGCAGGCAAUAUUAACUAGGGAAAUUGUGUCACUUCUCUUGCGUUCUGUGCAAGCAGAGUCAGCGUAUAUGCAGCAGUUUGGGCCGCCUGGCUCGUUGUGAACUGUGUGAAGACCAUUUCUUCCAAACAAAGACCAUAAUUAAUUUGCCAGAAUUUUACAUAACUAUGACAUAACAUUGAAGGUUGUGCAAUGUAACAGCAAUAUUUAGACUUAUGGAUGCCACCCGUUCAAUAAAAUACGGAACGGUUCCGUAUUUCACUGAAAGAAUAAAAGUUUUGUUUUCGAAAUGAUAGUUUCCGGAUUUGACCAUAUUAAUGACCUAAGGCUCGUAUUUCUGUGUGUUUAUUAUAUUAUAAUUAAGUCUAUGAUUUGAUAUUUGAUAGAGCAGUCUGACUGAGUGGUGGUAGGCAGCAGCAGGCUCAUAAGCAUUCAUUCAAACAGCACUUUCCUGCGUUUGCCAGCAUCUCUUCGCAAUGCUUGAAGCGCAGCGCUGUUUAUGACUUCAGACCUAUCAACUCUCGAGAUUAGGCUGGCAAUACUAUAGUGCCUAUAAGAACAUCCAAUAGUCAAAGGUAUAUGAAAUACAAAUGGUAUGGAGAGAAAUAGUCCUAUAAUAACUACAACCUAAAACUUCUUAACUGGGAAUAUUGAAGACUCGUGUUAAAAGGAACCACCAGCUUUCAUAUGUUCUCAUGUUCUGAGCAAGGAACUUAAACGUGAGCUCUUUUACAUGGCACAUAUUACACUUUUACUUUAUUCUCCAACACUGUGUUUUCACAUUAUUUAAAACAAAUUGAACAUGUUUCACUAUUUAUUUGAGACUAAAUAUAUUUUUAUUUUUGUAUUAUAUUAUAAGUUCAAAUAAAAGUGUUCAUUCAGUAUUGACGUAAUUGUCAUUAUUACAAAUAUAUAUACAGUUGAAGUUGGAAGUUUACAUACACCUUAGCCAAAUACAUUUAAACUAAUUUUAGUUAGUUAAUUUAGUUCUAGUAAAAAUUCCCUGUUUUAGGUCAGUUCAGAUCACCACUUGAUUUUAAGGAUGUGAAAUGUCAGAAUAAUACUUGAGAGAAUGAUUUAUUUCAGCUUUUAUUUCUUUCACCACAUUCCCAGUGGGUCAGAAGUUUACAUACACUCAAUUAGUAUUUGGUAGCAUUGCCUUUAAAUAGUUUAACUUGGGUCAGACGUUUUGGGUGGCCUUCCACAAGCUUCCCACAAUAAGUUGGGUGAAUUUUGUCCCAUUCCUUCUGACAGAGCUGGUGUAACUGAGUCAGGUUUGUAGGCCACCUUGCUCACACACGCAUUUUCAGUUAUGCCCACAGAUUUUCUAUAUGAUUGAGGUCAGGUCUUUGUGAUGGCCACUCCAAUACCUUGACUUUGUUGUCCUUAAACCAUUUUACCUCAACUUUGGAAGUAUGCUUGAGGUCAUUGUCCAUUUGGAAGACCCAUUUGUGACCAAGCUGUAACUUCCUGACAGAUGUCUUGAGAUGUUGCUUCAAUUUAUCCAUGUAAUUUUCCGUCCUCAUGAUGCCAUCUAUUUUGUGAAGUGCACCAGUCCCUCCUGCAGCAAAGCAACCCCACAACAUGAUGCUGCCACCCCCGUGCUUCACAGUUGGGAUGGUGUUCUUCUGCUUGCAAGCCUCCCCCUUUUUCCUCCGAACAUAACGAUGGUCAUUAUGGCCAAACAGUUCUAUUUUUGUUUCAUCAGACCAGAGGAUAGUUCUCCAAAAAGUAUGAUCUUUGACCCUAUGUGCAGUUGCAAACCGUAGUCUGUCUUUUUUGAUGGCGGGUUUGUAGCAGUGACUUCUUCCUUGCUGAGCGGCCUUUCAGGUUAUGUCGAUAUAGGACUUGUUUUUACUGUGGAUAUAGAUAAUUUGUACCAGUUUCCUCCAGCAUCUUCACAAGGUCCUUUGCUGUUGUUCUGGGAUUGAUUUGCACUUUUCGCACCAAAGUACGUUAAUCUCUAGGAGACAGAACGUGUCUCCUUCCUGAGCGGUAUGACAGCUGCGUGGUCCCAUGGUGUUUAUACUUGCGCACUAUUGUUUGUACAGAUGAACGUGGUACCUUCAGGAGUUUGGAAAUUGCUCCCAACGAUGAACCAGACUUGUGGAGGCUUACACGUUUUUUUUUCUGAGGUCUUGGCUGACUUAUUUUGAUUUUCCCAUGAUGUCAAAGAUGCACUGAGUUUGAAGGUAGGCCUUGAAAUACAUCCACAGGUACACCUCCAAUUGACUCAAAUGAUGUCAAUUAGCCUAUCAGAAGUUUCUAAAGCCAUGACAUCCUUUUCUGUAAUUUUCCAAGCUGUUUAACGGCACAGUCAACUUAGUGUAUGUAAACUUCUGACCCACUGGAAUUGUGAUACAGUGAAUUAUAAGUGAAAUAAUCUGUCUGUAAACAAUUGUUGGAAAAAUGACUUGUGUCAUGCACAAAGUAGAUGUCCUAACCGACUUCCCAAAACUAUAGUUUGUUAACAAGAAAUGUGUGGAGUGGUUUAAAAAUGUGUUUUAAUGAUUCCAACCUAAGUGUAUUGAAACUUCAGACUUCAACUGUAUAUAUAAAAAUCGUCCGAUUAAUCGGUAUCGGCUUUAUUUGGUCCUCCUAUAAUCGUUAUCGGUGUUAAAAAAUCAUAAUCGGUCGACCGCUAGUCUAAAUACUUUCCGAAUACACUGUAUAUCAGCACUGUGUCCUUAGGUCCAGGGUUGGGGUCAAUUCCAUUCAGGAAGUCCACUGGAAUUGGAAUUUCGUUUCAAUUCCUGAAUUGACCCCGAUCCCAUUGUCUUCCGUUAGAUGGUGUCUUUCUAACGCAGACGGCCGUCGUGCUAUCUGACGUAAGACAAUGCCCCGACCCUUUAAGCAAGAACACAUUUCUCUUUUGACACUUUGGAUUUCAGCGGUUUGUUCCCCUGAAGCUGUCUGAAUGUGAUGCAAACCCAAAGGGUUUUCUUUCUUCUUUGUGGCAAUGGAGUUAACACUUGGCAUGUUAAUGUAUCGUCAUGUUAAUUUGUUGGGGAUCUUGAACGGACACUCCUGACUAUGCCUGUCCCAGGUAUGACCGUUCUUUCUUACCUCAUUGUCUGUCGUCAGGUGGUGAAUGACCUACUCUUUAGCGGCUCCAGUGACACGUCUAUCCACGCCCACAACAGCCACAUGGGUGAGCUGGUCUGUAUCUAUAAGGUUCACAGCAACGCAGUCACGGCAUUGGCCAUCUUGGAUAAGGUCAUGGUGACAGCCUGCCUGGACAAGCUGGUGCACAUCUCCAAGAGUUCUCAGUUGUCUUGAAAGCACCACAAAUCCAGAGAAUGCCAGACUUUGAUGACAAAAUUUGCCCAUGAAGGACCACCACGCCACCUUCCUGUUCAAGUAAGCGCAGCACAACAAGGUAGUCUCUGCCCACCAUUGAGAGCAUCCUGUCGGGCUGUAUCACUGCCUGGUACGGCAACUGCACCGUCUUCAACCGCAGGGCUCUCCAGAGGGUGGUGCGGUCUGCCCAACACAUCACCGGGGGCAUACUGCCUGUCCUCCAGGACAUCUACAGCACGCGAUGUCACAGGAAGGCCUAAAAGAUCAUCAAGGACACCAGCCACCCAAGCUACGGCCUGUUCACCCCGCUAUCAUCCAGAAGGCAAGGUCAGUACAGGUGCAUCAAAGCUGGGACCGAGAGACUGAAAAACAGCUUCUAUCUCAAGGCCAUCAGACUGUUAAAUAGCCAUCACUAGCCAGCCUCCAUCCAGUACCCUGCCCCUCACUGUCACCAGCUGACUACCACCCGGUUACUCAACCCUGAACCUUAGAGGCUGCUGCCCUAUGUACAUAGACAUGGAAUCACUGGUCACUUUAGUAAUGUUUACAUACUGUUUUACUAAACUCAUAUGUAUAAUACAAGGACAUCCUGUUCCACUAUUGCUGUACACAUACAUAUACACACACAUAUAUAUGUGGUGGGAUGUAUAAACAUUAUGGACAGCAUGUGGAUAGAAUAUGUGGUAUAUCUGAAGAAUACGUAGGACAGAAUAGUAUAUUAUACUAUAUAUUUAUACUCUGUACUCCAACAUUGCUCAUCCUAAUAUUUCUAUAUUUCUUAAUUCCAUUAUUUUACUUUUAGAGUUGUGUGUAUUGUUAAAUAUUGCUGCACUGUUGGAGCUAGGAACACCAGCAUUUCGCUACACCCACAAUAACAUCUGCUAAAAAUGUGUAUGCGACCAAUACGAUUUGAUUUGAUUCCCUUACACUGGCUUAUGUUUUUAUGAACUGUGUUACAAACAUGGGCUGGUGUAGCUUGGCCCAACAGCCCCAGUUCUCAGGCAGGCAUUUAGCAGAUGUUGUGGGAAAGGUGUUUCUCUUACACAGCACACAAACGCACAUGCAGACCACGCAGACACACACACACACUCUGCUGCAGAUGUCUGUCUUUUACAGGGAGGAGUGCAGUAACUACGGGGCCACUAAUUUGCUCCUCCAUCCAGAUUUCCUUCUCACCUGGCUCAAACUCUCACACCAUCUUUCCCUCCUCACUCUCUCUUCCAACAUGAAAGCUCCUUGAUUGCACCCCCAGCUGUCUGCCUCUCAGACUAUAUUUUGCCUUUGCUUUUCACUGUGCCAGUGUUCCCGGAUGGUAUGGUCUCAGUUUGGACAGGAACUGCUAGUAAGCGAAUGAUAUGGAUGCUGCUAGAUAACACCUGUCUAAAUUUGAUCUUUUCACAUUCAGGCCUGUCAUGACCUGCUGAAUCCUACUUGGGCUUGUGUACAUUAGUGUGCUGUGUGCAGAUGUUGCUACUUGAAAAUGUUCACCAAGAGCAUUCUGUAGUCUUACCUAACUAGCAGAAAUUGUUAAUACGUUAGAAAUUAUUUAAACACACUUUGCUGUAGCCUACAAUUUACUAGUUAACAAAAAAAUAAUGUGUGUCAUAUAAAAUAUAUUCACCCCACCCAGUAUUGUAAUCAAAACUUACCAGAAAGCAUGUAGUCCUUGGCUCAGACAGUGUAGUAUUGUGGAUUGUUUGGCCCUGUCUGGGGGUGUCCUCGGAUGGGGCCACAGUGUCUCCUGACCCCUCCUGUCUCAGCCUCCAGUAUUUAUGCUGCAGUAGUUAAUGUGUCGGGGGGCUAGGGUCAGUUUGUUAUAUCUGGAGUACCUCUCCUGUCCUAUUCGGUGUCCUGUGUGAAUCUAAGUGUGCGUUCUCUAAUUCUCUCUUUCUCUCUCUCUCUCUCGGAGGACCUGAGCCCUAGGACCAUGCCCCAGGACUACCUGACAUGAUGACUCCUUGCUGUCCCCAGUCCACCUGGCCGUGCUGCUGCUCCAGUUUCAACUGUUCUGCCUUAUUGUUAUACGACCAUGCUGGUCAUUUAUGAACAUUUGAACAUCUUGGCCAUGUUCUGUUAUAAUCUCCACCCGGCACAGCCAGAAGAGGACUGGCCACCCCACAUAGCCUGGUUCCUCUCUAGGUUUCUUCCUAGGUUUUGGCCUUUCUAGGGAGUUUUUCCUAGCCACCGUGCUUCUACAUCUGCAUUGCUUGCUGUUUGGGGUUUUAGGCUGGGUUUCUGUACAGCACUUUGAGAUAUCAGCUGAUGUACGAAGGGCUAUAUAAAUAAAUUUGAUUUGAUUUGAUUCAAUAGCAUCUAAUUAGUGUGCAAGAUCAUGAGAAUCAGCUGUACAUGUGAUGGAAGAAAGCACUGUGCAUACAGAGGGUUGCAAUUCCAUUGAAUUGGGGAUAGUUUAACCAGAAUAUGCCACAGGACCUAGAAUUGCCUUGUGUGUCCCACAAAAAAAAAGGUUCACUGUUAUAAGCUAACUUUUUUUGAUGAAUUGAAGCAAAAUUCCCCAAAUUCCAGGGCUUAAUUUAACAUGGAAAAUAUCCGGAAGAAUUCAGAAAAUUUACCGGAAAGUUUCCGACCCGUUGCAACCCUAAUCUGGACACUGUACCAGCUUUUUUGUUUUUCCUGGCUGCUAGUUCCUGAUCUUUUGAACACUUCAAUUGAAGAGUCACUUGAAGCUUGAGAGGAAUGAGAGAUUUUUUUAAAUUCGAUUUUUAUAGAUUAUUUAACUAGGCAAGUCAGUUAAGAACAAAUUCUUAUUUACAAUGACGGCCUACCCCGGCCAAACCUGGACAAUACUGGGCAAACUGUGCGCCGCCCAAGGGACUCCCAAUCGCGGCCGGAUGUGAUACGGUCUGUAUUCGAACCAGGAACUGUAGUGACGCCUCUUGCACUGAGAAGCUGUGCCUUAGACCGCUGUGCCACUUGGGAGCCCAGAGAUGCAGUUCAGGAAUGCAGUAAAGGAAUACAGUGCUGAGGCAGAGGGCUCCUAGUGAGGACGACUGGCUGCUACUCUGAACUGUGUGUGGUGAGCUUGAAUUAUUA